rnacentral:rRNA from 1 species
CAUGUCCUUUUGAAUAUAAUUUAAGGUCUGACCUGCCCAAUGAGAAUUUUAAUGGCUGCGGUAUUUUGACCGUACAAAGGUAGCAUAAUCAUUAGUUUUUUAAUUGAAAGCUUGUAUGAAGGGUUGAACGAGGUAAUAACUGUCUUAAAUUAAGUAAUAAAAUUUUAUUUUUAAGUUAAAAAGCUUAAAUUAAGUUAAAAGACGAGAAGACCCUAUAGAGCUUUAUAAUUAUAUGUAUUAUUAAAUAUAAAGAAUUAUUAAUUUUUUUUACAUUAGAUUAUUUUAUUGGGGUGAUAUUAAAAUUUAAAUAACUUUUAAUUUUUAGGUUUCAUUAAUUAAUGAUUAAUUGAUCCAAAAUUUUUGAUUAUAAGAUUAAGUUACCUUAGGGAUAACAGCGUAAUUUUUUUGGAGAGUUCUUAUCGAUAAAAAAGAUUGCGACCUCGAUGUUGGAUUAAAAUAAUUAUUGGGAGUAGGGUUUCAAUUAAUAGGUCUGUUCGACCUUUAAAUUUUUACAUGAUCUGAGU